UACGUAGGGACCAAGCGUUGUCCGGAAUCAUUGGGCGUAAAGAGCGUGUAGGCGGCCUGUUAAGUCUUGCGUGAAAUCUCGGGGCUCAACCCCGAGCGGUCGUGAGAAACUGGCGGGCUAGAGUGCGGGAGAGGAGAGUGGAAUUCCUGGUGUAGCGGUGAAAUGCGCAGAUAUCGAGAGGAACACCAGUGGCGAAGGCGAGUCCCUGGACAACUCCUGACACUGAGGCACGAAAGCUAGGGGAGCAAACAGG
rnacentral:rRNA from 1 species